rnacentral:rRNA from 1 species
UUGGAGGGCAAGUCUGGUGCCAGCAGCCGCGGUAAUUCCAGCUCCAAUAGCGUAUAUUAAAGUUGUUGCAGUUAAAAAGCUCGUAGUUGAAUUUCGGGGUCAGCAGGUUGGUCGUGCCUCUGGUACGCACUGGCUUCGCUGAUUCCUCCUUUCUGAAGAACUGUAAUGUCAUUAAUUUGGUGUUGCAGGGAAACAGGACUGUUACUUUGAAAAAAUUAGAGUGUUUAAAGCAAGCUAACGCUUGAAUACAUUAGCAUGGAAUAAUGAAAUAGGACGUUUGAUCCUAUUUUGUUGGUUUCUAGGAUUGACGUAAUGAUUAAUAGGGAUAGUUGGGGGCAUUAGUAUUCAAUUGUCAGGGGUGAAAUUCUUGGAUUUAUUGAAGACUAACUACUGCGAAAGCAUUUGCCAAGGAUGUUUUCAUUAAUCAAGAACGAAAGUUAGGGGAUCGAAGACGAUCAGAUACCGUCGUAGUCUUAACCAUAAACUAUGCCGACUAGGGAUCGGAUGAUGUUAAUUUUUUAAUGACUCAUUCGGCGCCUUACGGGAAAC